AGAAAAAAUCCACCCCUCCUGAAAAACAAAUCCACCGGUAAAAACCCUGAAAAAAUCACCUCCUAAUCCCACCAUUUUACCGUCUCCUCGCCCCUCCAUCCACCCAUUCUCAGCCUUUCACUCUCAUUUUCGCUUCUCACCCAAAAUAACAUAGGAGUGAAAACCCUCAAAACCACAGCCAGAGAGGGGAAAGAUCAGCAGACAGGGUCUUGGAAUUUGGGGUUUUUGCUCCGAGUGAUUAACGCUUUGGAGGGGGUUUUGCAAUUUGGGGUUUUUUCUCUGAGUGAUUAACGUUUUGGAGGGGGUUUUGCAAUUUGGGGUUUUUUCUCCGAGUGAUUAACGCUUUGGAGGGGGUUUUGCAACUUUCUGUGAGAUGCAACGACAGAGGUAGCAGGUGGCGGACACAACACAGAGAAAUCCAAGAAAGAAAAAUCCCGCUGCUUGUAUCUAAAGACGAUUGCUUAUAACGAAUUUUCAUUUGCAAAGAUUUGGCCGAUGGCUGUCCAGUUUAAAUACGGCAGUUAAAUAUUGACCGGCAAGGCGUGUUUUGGAGUCGGCAAUUAGCAUAGCUCCCAAAGAUAAGAUAUUUAAGAAGUACGUCGAGAUAGAGCUGCAACUUGGUAAUAUAGAACGAUGCAGGAAGCUGUAUGAAAAAUACUUGGAGUGGUCACCAGAGAACUGCUAUGCAUGGAGCAAGUUUGCUGAGUUGGAGAGAUCCUUCGCGGAAAUUGAACGAGCCAGAGCUCUUUUUGAGCUUGCAAUUGAUCAACCUGCGCUAAACAUGCCUAAGCUGUUAUGUAAGGUAUUUGAUCAUUGCGUCGCCCAAACUUGAAGGGUGUUUUCUGCUCUCUCACUCACACUAUGUUGACACUUCGGUUCGAUGCUAGCUUCCAUCAAAAUGGAUCAGUGGGUGGCAAUAAUUUAUUUUACCGGUUCAUUAUAUACGGGUUUAUUCUAUCUAACUCAAGUACUUACUUCAAACUUUGUCCCGAUAUAUAUUAGAAAAAAACAUGGUUCUAUUUUCUCUCUGCAUCUACUGUGCUCAUAUAGCCAAGCCUCAUGCAUAUAAUGCCAUGUCACUAAGUACCAACAUCGAACUGGUUCUUCGAAUCUUUUUGUGUGUAUGCAUCUUCGAGUUUUUUCUUCGUCAAUUAGGAUUUUGUUAUUUUGUAAGUAUCGAAUCUGGCCUCUUUUUAAAUAUAGCUAUAUAGCUCUACAGCCUCUGCUGUAGAUUUAAUGUAUCAAAUCAAUGUGUAUUGAUUUUCUAUUUAUUCGAUGACACGCAUAUAUUGAUUUUUAAACAUCUGAUGCUGAAUAUGAAAGACGAGAGGCUUUUGAACCGCACAAAACAUUUGAAGGUGUGAUUAGUUAUGCGAAGUUCGAGGCAUCUGCUAUGGAUGAGGGCUUGCAGGAGUCAGACAUGCGUGGAAGUGAUUAUGAACAAAAGAGAAAAUGCCUUCAGCGAGCCAGAUAGUGCUGCUCUAGGACCAAAGGAUUUGCUUAAGCGAUCACAUGAGAUCGAUUAUUUGCACAGCUAAAGCAAGAAAGGCAGGAUAGAGCAAGGUUUCAAGGCAAAAGUUAUGCUGAGGUGAUCCCGUUACUUAUAUGCAGUAUAUGUUGUAGUUUUAGUUUGUGAUCUUCUUGAAGGUAAGUUUUGCAGUUCUCAUAUGUAGAAAAAUUUUCUAUGGUUAAAUUCAUCUAUUCUUUUAGUUUCUUUAGCUCAUCAUUUCUAGUUAAUACAUGCUGACAAUAGAAUAAGAUUAGAAAGAGGUGCAAAGCUCUACAAAAAAUAGUUACUUGUUUCAGAAAAAUAAAUGAAGAUUUGAGUGACUUGUGCUCUAUACAGGUUAUGAGAUAUUACUCCUAUCGCAUUAGAUUGACUUGAAUGACAAUCUUUCUUGUAAUAAAGUAACAAGAAAUUAGAGCCUAUUAUUCAUUGUGACAAUAGAAUUAGAUCAGCCAGGGAAUUGCUCUGUUGGAAUGUGGAUAUGUGGGGAUUCAAAAUUUUUAUUUGGCGGUUGACAGUUUUUAUUGAACACCGAUUUUGUGAAGGAAGUUGGU